CUGGCUCAGAUUGAACGCUGGCGGCAGGCUUAAUACAUGCAAGUCGAACGGUAACGGCAGGAAGCUUGCUUCCUGGCUGACGAGUGGCGGACGGGUGAGUAAUACCUGGGGAGCUGCCUGAAUGAGGGGGACAACACCUGGAAACGGGUGCUAAUACCGCGUAAGCCCUGAGGGGGAAAGGCCGGGCAACCGGUCGCAUUCAGAUGCGCCCAGGUGGGAUUAGCUAGUUGGUGGGGUAACGGCCUACCAAGGCGACGAUCUCUAGCUGGUCUGAGAGGAUGAUCAGCCACACUGGAACUGAGACACGGUCCAGACUCCUACGGGAGGCAGCAGUAGGGAAUAUUGCACAAUGGGGGGAACCCUGAUGCAGCCAUGCCGCGUGUGUGAAGAAAGGCCUUUGGGUUGUAAAGCACUUUCAGUAUGGAGGAAGUGAGCUGAGUUAAUAGCUUAGUUCAUUGACGUUACAUACAGAAGAAGCACCGGCUAACUCCGUGCCAGCCGCCGC
rnacentral:rRNA from 1 species